rnacentral:rRNA from 1 species
UAAAACGAAAUAAAGCAUAAAGUGGAUGCCUUGACUUGAAUAUCCGAAGAAGGACGUACUAAUCUGCGAAAAGUCUAGAGAAGUUGAUAAGAAACGAUAUUACUCUAGAAUAUCCGAAUGGGGGAACCUAAUACAGGUAAUCUGUAUUGCUGUAGAUUUACAGCGGGCACAAUGUGAAUUGAAAUAUCUUAGUAGCAUUGGACAAGAAAUCAAAAGAGAUUCCCUUAGUAGUGACGAGCGAAGAGGGAACAGCCUAAACCGUAAGCUAUGUACAGUUAGCUUUUGUACUUACGGUGUUGUAGGUUUCACAUACAGGGAGGCUAAUAACCUGGGUAUGUUUAUAUAAUAUUAAUCAAAUAAGCUGGGAAGCUUAGCCAUAGAGAGUUAAAGCCUCGUAGAAUAAAAUAUUAUGUUACGUACUUGUGAAUACCUGAGUAGGAUCAGACACGUGGAAUCUGGUUUGAAUCUGGGAGGACCAUCUUCCAAGGCUAAAUAGUAUUCAAGAUCGAUAGCGAACAAGUACCAUGAGGGAAAGGUGAAAAGAACCCCGGGAGGGGAGUGAAAUAGACCUGAAACUUUAUGCUGUUAACGAGUAGGAGCUCUUCGGAGUGACUGCGUACUUUUUGUAGAACGGACCAACGAGUUAAUGUGUGUGGCAAGGUUAAGGGAGUGAAAUCCGGAGCCGAAGUGAAAGCGAGCCUGAAUAGGGCGAGAGUCAUACAUAUUAGACCCGAAACUGGGAGAGCUUCCCAUGAGCAGGCUGAAGUCUGGGUAAAACUAGAUGGAGGGCCGAACCAUUUGGAGCUGCAAGUCCAUUGGAUGACUUGUGGGAAGGAGUGAAAAGCUAAUCGAUCUCAGAGAUAGCUGGUUCUCCGCGAAAUAGCUUUAGGGCUAGCCUGGAUUAACAUAUUUUAUUGGGGUAGGGCUCUGAUAGGACUAGCGGGACGUAAGUCUUAGUAAAUCCUGAUAAACUUCGAAUACAGUAAAAUUUAAAUCUGGAGUCAGACGGUGACAGAUAAGUGCCAUCGUCAAAAGGGAAACAGCCCAGACUACUAUCUAAGGUCCCAAAUUAAUAACUAAGUGGAAAAGGAUGUCGAAUUGCUGAGACAACCAGGAUGUUGGCUCAGAAGCAGCCAUUCAUUCAAAGAGUGCGUAAUAGCUCACUGGUCAAGCGAUUCUGCGCCGAAAAUACAACGGGGCUAAGUUAUUAACCGAAGAUGUAGAAUAGAAAUAUUGGUAGCGGAGCGUUCUGUAUGUCAAUGAAGGUGUUGUGUGAGCAAUGCUGGAGAUAUCAGAAGUGAAAAUGUUGGUAUGAGUAACGUAAUGAAGAUGAAAACUCUUCACACCGAAUAUCCAAGGUUUCCUGUUCAACGUCAGUCGAAGCAGGGUGAGUCGGUCCUAAGGUGUAGCUGAAAGGCAAAGCUGAUGGAUAUCAGGUUAAUAUUCCUGAACUAUGUUUAUUCGUUAUUACGAAGGGGGGACGUAUUGGGAUAUAGGAGAUGCUUAAUGAAUUGCAUUACGAAAACAAGGCUUAAUCUAUAGGAAAAUCCGUAGAUUUCUAUGUCGAGUCAAGUUAAGAUAGAACUAAGGUUUUAUCAGCUCCUAAUAUAUUCAGGUACCAAGAAAAGCCUCUAAGGAGAAUAAACGUAACCGUACCGAUAACGAACACUCGUGGAUUAGUGGAGAACACUAAGGUGGACGGGGUAACUAUGCUUAAGGAACUCGGCAAAACAGCGGUCGUAACUUCGGGAUAAGACCUGCCUAGUAUUUAAUUUAGAUACUAGGCCGCAGCUAAAGAGCUCAGGCGACUGUUUACCAAAAACACAGCUCUCUGCAAAAUCGCAAGAUGAUGUAUAGGGGGUGAUGCCUGCCCAGUGCCAGAAGGUCACGGGGAUGUGUGAGAGCACUGAACCUAAGCCCUGGUGAACGGCGGCCGUAACUAUAACGGUCCUAAGGUAGCGAAAUUCCUUGUCGGGUAAGUUCCGACCCGCACGAACGGCAUAACGGUCUGAGCACUGUCUCAAGCAUAGUCCCGGUGAAAUUGCAAUAUCGGUAAAAAUGCCGAUUACCUGCAGCAAGACGGAAAGACCCUAUGGAGCUUUACUACAGUUUGGUAUUGAUUUAUGUUUUAAGAUGUGCAGUAUAGGUGGGAAACUGUGAAGUGUAGACGCUAGUCUAUAUGGAGUUGUCGUUGAGAUACCACCCUUCUUAAAAUGUAAAUCUAACCUCAAAAGAGGGACAGUGCUUGAUGGGUAGUUUAACUGGGGCGGUUGCCUCCUAAAAAGUAACGGAGGCGCACAAAGGUUAACUAUUACCGGAUGGAAAUCGGUAAGAUAGUGUAUUCGCAUAAGUUAGCUUGACUGAGAGACCUACAAGUCGAUCAGAGACGAAAGUCGGUGAAAAUGAUCCGGCACCACAAGUGUGGAAUUGGUGUCGCUCAACGGAUAAAAGUUACCCUAGGGAUAACAGGCUGAUUUUGCCCAAGAGUUCAAAUCGACGGCAAAGUUUGGCACCUCGAUGUCGGCUCGUCGCAUCCUGGGGGUGGAGAAGCUCCCAAGGGUAUGGCUGUUCGCCAUUUAAAGCGGUACGCGAGCUGAGAAGAUCUGUUUCUAGUACGAGAGGACCGAAAUGGACGAACCUCUGGUGUAUCGGUUGUAUGGUCAUCAUGCACUGCCGAGUAGCUAAGUUCGGAAAGGAUAACCACUGAAAGCAUCUAAGUGGGAAGCCAACUUCAAGAUAAGAAUCCUCUGCCUCGAGCAAUAAGUUCCCUUCGAGACUAGGAGGUUGAUAGGUUGCAGGUGUAAGUCCAGUGAUGGAUUGAGCCAAGCAAUACUAAUAGAACGAAUGGUUUUAAUAA